rnacentral:rRNA from 1 species
UACGUAGGGGGCAAGCGUUGUCCGGAUUCAUUGGGCGUAAAGAGCGUGUAGGCGGCCAGGUAGGUCGGUUGUGAAAACUGGAGGCUCAACCUUCAGAGGUCGACCGAAACCAUCUGGCUAGAGUCCGGGAGAGGAGAGUGGAAUUCCUGGUGUAGCGGUGAAAUGCGCAGAUAUCAGGAAGAACACCCGUGGCGAAGGCGAGUCCCUGGACAAUACCCGACACUGAGGCACGAAAGCUAGGGGAGCAAACAGG